rnacentral:misc_RNA from 1 species
UAUGAAUAAGAUAUGUAUAAAUAAUAAUAUUUCGUGUCAGUUAUUAAUAUUUGUAAACAAUACAUGUACUUGUAUUUUAGUUGGAGACAAACGAGGAUUCCUUUAUUUGUUCAUUUUCCAGUUCAUAGUCAUAAUUCAUCACAACGGUAUCUUCGUCAGUUAGAAAUAAUUUUUAAAAAAUUUUUCAUCAUAAUAUCGAUCGAUAAUUUUUUAAAUUAUCACUGAUUAAAUUUACUGAUUAGAAAAUUUAUCUACUUUCAAUUUAUCUAAAAAGAUAAAUCUUUAUCGCAACAUGAACACCAAUGCUGAUGUAAAUGAUAUUCACUUAGCAUUUAGUAUGAUAAACGAAUUUGAAACUGUAUGGUUAACGAUAAGUAAAGAGGAGCCUAAUCAAGUCAAUUAUCGUAUAAUAAAAUCAUACUUGGAGUAUAUAAAGAAGCAAUUAGAUUUUAUCAUGAAACCUCAUGCUUUUGAUCCUGUCGAGUAUCCAGAUCUAAUAGAAAAAAGAAAUCAUUUUAUGAGAAAAUGUAUUCCACUUAUGGCUAAAGCGGAAGUAUAUUUGGUUACACAUUAUGAUGCCGUAAAGUAUUCUACGAAGUAAAACAACAUGGAAAUAAUAAAUAAAUAAAUAAAUUCUGUGUUAAAUAUAUAAAUUUUUAUUAUGUAAGUCAUUACGAGAAUCAUGUGCAUGAAAAAUAUUCAUAUAAUUUCGUAACAAAUUCUAUGUAAGUAUAUAUUAAUCACCAUAAUAUUAUUUUAUU